CCUACGGGAGGCAGCAGUGAGGAAUAUUGGUCAAUGGUCGGGAGUCUGAACCAGCCAAGCAGCGUGAAGGAUGACGACCCUAUGGAUUGUAAACUUCUUUUGUCUGGGAAUAAAACAGGGGACGCGUGCCCUCUUGUGUGUACCUUAUGAAUAAGCAUCGGCUAACUCCGUGCCAGCAGCCGCGGUAAUACGGAGGAUCCGAGCGUUAUCCGGAUUUAUUGGGUUUAAAGGGUGCGUAGGCGGAGUGUUAAGUCAGCGGUGAAAGGCCGGGGCUCAACCGUGGAACUGCGGUUGAAACUGGCAGGCUUGAGUACGGGAGAGGUAGGCGGAAUGCGUGGUGUAGCGGUGAAAUGCUUAGAUAUCACGAAGAACUCCGAUUGCGAAGGCAGCAUACCGGAGCGCAACUGACGCUGAUGCUCGAAAGCGUGGGUAUCGAACAGGAUUAGAUACCCUAGUAGUC
rnacentral:rRNA from 1 species